rnacentral:rRNA from 1 species
UACAGAGGGUGCGAGCGUUUGUUCGGAAUUAUUGGGCGUAAAGGGUGCGUAGGCGGCGCGGUAAGUCGGGUGUGAAAUCUCGGAGCUUAACUCCGAAACUGCAUUCGAUACUGCCGUGCUUGAGGACUGGAGAGGAGACUGGAAUUUACGGUGUAGCGGUGAAAUGCGUAGAUAUCGUAAGGAAGACCAGUGGCGAAGGCGGGUCUCUGGACAGUUCCUGACGCUGAGGCACGAAGGUCAGGGGAGCAAACGGG